rnacentral:misc_RNA from 1 species
AACGCACAUUGCGCCCUUUGGUAUUCCGAGGGGCAUGCCUGUUCGAGCGUCAUUUCAAACCUCAAGCUUCUGCUUGGUAUUGAGCGGUUUCGCCUUCGGAAACGGAGGCGCCCUCGAAACUCGUGGGCGGUGAUGUCCAGCGUCGUAGCGUAGUCAUAAACCAUUCCGCUUCCGAUCGCUUCUGGACGAUUCACCCGCCGGGAGAACCGACGCCUCUGGUGUCACUUUUCUUAAGGUUUGACCUCGGAUCAGGUAGGGAUACCCGCUGAACUUAA